UAGGGAAUCUUCGGCAAUGGACGAAAGUCUGACCGAGCAACGCCGCGUGAGUGAAGAAGGUUUUCGGAUCGUAAAACUCUGUUGUUAGAGAAGAACAAGGACGUUAGUAACUUAACGUCCCCUGACGGUAUCUAACCAGAAAGCCACGGCUAACUACGUGCCAGCAGCCGCGGUAAUACGUAGGUGGCAAGCGUUGGCCGGAUUUAUUGGGCGUAAAGCGAGCGCAGGCUGUUUCUUAAGUAUGAUGUGAAAGCCCCCGGCUCAACCGGGGAGGGACAUUGGAAACUGGGAAACUUGAGUGCAGAAGAGGAGAGUGGAAUUCCAUGUGUAUCGGUGAAAUGCGUAGAUAUAUGGAGGAACACCAGUGGCGAAGGCGGCUCUAUGGUCUGUAACUGACGCUGAGGAUCGAAAGCGUGGGGAGCAAACAGG
rnacentral:rRNA from 1 species